CUUUAUUUUAAUUAAAGAAUAAUUGAUUUCAAAUCAGGAAGUAAAAGAAUGU
rnacentral:tRNA from 1 species